GUCCACGCCCUAAACGAUGUCAACUGGUUGUUGGACGGCUUGCUGUUCAGUAACGAAGCUAACGCGUGAAGUUGACCGCCUGGGGAGUACGGCCGCAAGGUUGAACUCAAAGGAAUUGACGGGGACCCGGCACAAGCGGUGGAUGAUGUGGUUUAAUUCGAUGCAACGCGAAAACCUUAACCUACCCUUGACAUGCCAGGAAUCUUGCAGAGAUGUGAGAGUGCUCGAAAGAGAACCUGGACACAGGUGCUGCAUGGCCGUCGU
rnacentral:rRNA from 1 species